rnacentral:pre_miRNA from 1 species
UUCGUACUCCCUCCGUCCCAAAAUUCUUGUCUUAAAUUUGUCUAAAUACGGAUGUAUCUAGUUACAUUUUAGUGUUAGAUACAUCCGUAUCUAAACAAAUCUAAGACAAGAAUUUUGGGACGGAGGGAAUACUAC